rnacentral:rRNA from 1 species
CUUGGUCAUUUAGAGGAAGUAAAAGUCGUAACAAGGUUUCCGUAGGUGAACCUGCGGAAGGAUCAUUACUGAAAUGUAAUAACUUCUAUUGAAAGGUUCCAGAGUAGGCGCUACAACGCCGAAAUGACCUUCUCACCCUUGUGUACUCACUAUGUUGCUUUGGCGGGUCGACCUGGUUCCGACCCAGGCGGCCGGCGCCCCCAGCCUUAACUGGCCAGGACGUCCGGCUAAGUGCCCGCCAGUAUACAAAACUCAAGAAUUCAUUUUGUGAAGUCCUGAUAUAUCAUUUAAUUGAUUAAAACUUUCAACAACGGAUCUCUUGGUUCUGGCAUCGAUGAAGAACGCAGCGAAAUGCGAUAAGUAAUGUGAAUUGCAGAAUUCAGUGAAUCAUCGAAUCUUUGAACGCACAUUGCGCCCUCUGGUAUUCCGGAGGGCAUGCCUGUUCGAGCGUCAUUUCAACCCUCAAGCUCUGCUUGGUAUUGGGCAACGUCCGCUGCCGGACGUGCCUUGAAGACCUCGGCGACGGCGUCCUAGCCUCGAGCGUAGUAGUAAAAUAUCUCGCUUUGGAGUGCUGGGCGACGGCCGCCGGACAAUCGACCUUCGGUCUAUUUUUCCAAGGUUGACCUCGGAUCAGGUAGGGAUACCCGCUGAACUUAAGCAUAUCAAUAAGCGGAGGA